rnacentral:lncRNA from 1 species
CCCUUCCCCAGCCUUCCAUCUCAUCUUUUUGUUUCCCUGGUGCAAUGCAGUUCCCUGUUAUUUAAGCCUGGGGCAGUGGUGGGGAAUGCUGUGAGCCACCCAUUCCCUGCAGUGUAACGAGCAGCACCAGGGGACAGGCUCCUGGGGGAGGCUCAGCUUUUUGCAAUCAGGAGGAUUAAUUAUGGACUCAUACAAAAACCUGAGAGAGAAAGAAAACCUUUUUGCAGCUUCCUUAGUAGAACAUGUAGUUAUAGGGGCAGUCUUCCCUUGUUUUUGCUUUGUUUUUGUUUGGUGUCAUCUGUUUUUUUCCCUUGAUGCUUCAAGAAUAAGUGACAUAAAGCCCUCUACCAUUUGGGAAGUAGAUCCAUGCCUCCUUGAGCACUCUUAGAGCUGCCAACCAGAUGAUGGAUGGCUCCAUGGAGAGGAGGAAUUACAGCUGCCGAAAUUGAGAGGGGACGGAGAACCUCCAGCUCUCUCAGAGUGAAAUGAACCCACCUUUUAUGUGACACUUGAAUUGUCAAGCUUUUUCCUCUGAUGUGGAAACCAUGCUGACAGUAAUGCAAUCUGCUUGGUUUCUGCAGGAGUUAUUGCACCAGUUUGGUGCCACUGUAAAUUCCGGCAUGCUUUUACUGGGAAGGUGUCUGGAGUUCAGCUUAUAGAAGAAAACUAGUAAGCGUGGAGGGUUGAUAAGGAAAGCGCUGCUUGCUUUGGGGCCAAGCAAUUAAAAAAGUGGGGGAAAAAAAGGAAAUGAAAGGAAAUUUCCUCAGUAAUCCAGGUCCUGCUUUUGCUGUUAGAAAUGUUAAAUGGAAUUUUGAAAAGUUGAAAAUUACAUCAGGAGAAAAAGCAGUUUUAGCUCGAUCACACUUGGAGAGGUAACGUUACAUCAGUGCUUACGUUUCAGUCUGCUUUCCCUCUGGAUUGGCAGGCUGCAACAUCUCUUCUCCCAUCUUUCAAAGUGAGGACAACUUAAUUUCCAAUACCAAGGAAUGAGAUGUAGAGCACAGACACUGGGAUGCAUAGGGAGGAUGAUUCUGGGAGAUGGUGGCAAGCUGCUGUGCACCCACAUUCCUUAGUGUGAACCAAUGACUGUAUGGCCAUGUCUGACCUCGAUAUUGAGGGUGAUCUGGGGACAUGGAGUGACUGCUUGCCCUCAGGUCCAUCCUGUGUAUAUCCGUCUUUAUUUCAGUGAGAUAACUGCUGGCUCUGGAAAUGCUUCCUUUUAGUAACUACAGCUCUGGUUUGUUCCUCUGUCUCAAACGUGCUGUGAGGGCAGUGUCAUUGCUUUGUAAGGGCUUCUCUAUCAUUAUGCAUUUCUACUCUAUGCCAGCGCCGUCAGCCAUCAUUUCUUAAAACAAAUCGGAUGCUCCUCAUCUCCAUCAAUUGACCUGAGCUGUCCUUUGGUCAGGCAGACCAGGGUGGAUUUG